rnacentral:rRNA from 1 species
UAGCAGCCGCGGUAAUACGGAGGGUGCGAGCGUUAAUCGGAAUUACUGGGCGUAAAGCGCAUGCAGGCGGCCUGUUAAGUCAGAUGUGAAAGCCCGGGGCUUAACCUCGGAAUUGCAUUUGAAACUGGCAGGCUAGAGUCUUGUAGAGGGGGGUAGAAUUUCAGGUGUAGCGGUGAAAUGCGUAGAGAUCUGAAGGAAUACCAGUGGCGAAGGCGGCCCCCUGGACAAAGACUGACGCUCAGAUGCGAAAGCG